rnacentral:rRNA from 1 species
GAGGAAAGAACCAACAGGGAUUGCCUCAGUAACGGCGAGUGAAGCGGCAACAGCUCAAAUUUGAAAUCUGGCUCCCCUGGGGGCCCGAGUUGUAAUUUGUAGAGGAUGCUUCGGCGUGGGCCCCGGUCUAAGUUCCUUGGAACAGGACGUCACAGAGGGUGAGAAUCCCGUACGUGGCCGUGGGUGCUCGCCAUGUGAAGCUCCUUCGACGAGUCGAGUUGUUUGGGAAUGCAGCUCUAAAUGGGAGGUAAAUUUCUUCUAAAGCUAAAUACUGGCCAGAGACCGAUAGCGCACAAGUAGAGUGAUCGAAAGAUGAAAAGCACUUUGGAAAGAGAGUCAAAAAGUACGUGAAAUUGUUGAAAGGGAAGCGCUUGCAACCAGACCUGCCUGCGGUUGCUCAUCCGGGCUCCUGCCCGGUGCACUCUUCCGCAGUCAGGCCAGCAUCAGCUCUGGCGGUCGGAUAAAGGCGGCGGGAAUGUGGCUCCCCUCGGGGAGUGUUAUAGCCCGCCGUGCAAUGCGGCCAGCCGGGACUGAGGUCCGCGCUUCGGCUAGGAUGCUGGCGUAAUGGUUGUAAGCGGCCCGUCUUGAAACACGGACCAAGGAGUCUAACAUCUGUGCGAGUGUUUGGGUGUCAAGCCCAGGCGCGUAAUGAAAGUGAACGGAGGCGGGAACCUUCGGGUGCACCGUCGACCGAUCCUGAUGUCUUCGGAUGGAUUUGAGUAAGAGCAUAGCUGUUGGGACCCGAAAGAUGGUGAACUAUGCCUGAAUAGGGUGAAGCCAGAGGAAACUCUGGUGGAGGCUCGCAGCGGUUCUGACGUGCAAAUCGAUCGUCAAAUUUGGGCAUAGGGGCGAAAGACUAAUCAAC